CCUACGGGUGGCAGCAGUGAGGAAUAUUGGUCAAUGGACGAGAGUCUGAACCAGCCAAGUAGCGUGAAGGAUGACUGCCCUAUGGGUUGUAAACUUCUUUUAUAUGGGAGUAAAAUGUUCCACGUGUGGGAUUUUGUAUGUACCAUAUGAAUAAGGACCGGCCAACUCCGUGCCAGCAGCCGCGGUAAUACGGAGGGUGCGAGCGUUAUCCGGAUUUAUUGGGUUUAAAGGGAUAGUAGGUGGAUUGUUAAGUCAGUUGUGAAAGUUUGCGGCUCAACCGUAAAAUUGCAGUUGAAACUGGCAGUCUUGAGUACAGUAGAGGUAGGCGGAAUGCGUGGUGUAGCGGUGAAAUGCUUAGAUAUCACGAAGAACUCCGAUUGCGAAGGCAGUUCACUGGACUGCAACUGACACUGAGGCUCGAAAGUGUGGGUAUCAAACAGGAUUAGAUACCCCAGUAGUC
rnacentral:rRNA from 1 species